UUGCAGACAUGGAUGACAGUUUGUAUUACUUUGGUCAAGUCAUUUAAAAUCUCGGAUCAGUAAGAUGGAGGUAUUAAAUACCUCACAUUACUCUUAGGAAAAUUCAGUUCUUCUUAUGAAGCACUUAGCAUAGGGCUUGGUAUUGGAUAAGUGCUGCCAUUUUUUGAUGAUAGUAAUGUUGCCUAUUAAUAUUAAUUUCCCCUGGAAAAUGAGGAUUUCUCGUUGACAAGCAGAAGUUUCGAUGGUUAUGUCUAAGUGGGGCCUUGGUUUGCAAUCCUAUUGACCUCAGGUGGUGUUCAUGCAUCAAAUGGAAAUCUGAGCUGCAAAACCCCAAUUCCUCUGCCUGUACCCACCUUCUGCAGGAGGAGGAUCUCUGUCAAGAUAAUGGUGCUUACACUGCCACCACGGAAUGAGAAGCAGGUGACUCACUACUGAUCAUCUGCUGCUCACUCACUUCCACUGCAGAGGAACUGUGCUCCCCGCAAAUAGUUGGCUCCCAGCACAGAGCAAUGGGGCCUGGUUGGAGAGUGAGCUCAUUGGGAGCCGAGUCAGAGCUGAACUUGGAAGAAGUGAAGUGCAAGAUAAAUCAUCCAUAGAUUUCAUUUCCUGAAUAAGAAGGAAGCUUUCAGAAGAAGGGAAUAUGAAAGACGCAGGUCUUGAAAAUAGGUGGAAGAAACGCAAAUCGGUGUGUCGGAGAGAACGUCGGACUGCAAACUUAAGGCCAGAACCAUACGUUCUCAUCAGUGACGGCAAUAAUGAGGGGAGAUCAUGUUCACCUCAAGUGCGCGUUGGGGAUUGAAGGGAAGGUGCAUGGAGUGCUAGUCCCACGCCACUCAUCAUAUAAUCUGCUCUCCACUGUCUUCACCCUGUUCACUGUCCCUGGAGACUGACUUGUGUGGACCACACCAACAGGCACCCUUGCACUUUGUCUGAUGGUUUAGUGCAGCCAAUCAGGACCUCCAAAGGGAAUCAAAGAGAGGAAGGGAAGUGACGGUAAGGAAUUACUUCCCUUCUCAUCUUUCUGUAGGGCCUCCAUCUUGCUCUGUUACCCAACGCAAGGUCACUGCUCCUCACAUGGUGACCAGUUCUAGAUGACUUUUUCCUUGAGGAUUCACACAACUCUUCCUCCCUCAUCUCUUUGGGCUUAGGGGUGGUGACCCUCUUUCCUUAUUAACCUUAGGGUGUUGCACCGUGCUUUGUGUUUUUCCUAUGCCCCAUCCACAUCUUUGUAAAUAAUCUCUUUGUAAAUUAACUAUCCUUGAAUUAUCCUGAGUGUGCCAUCUACUUUAUUUUGGGACUCUAACUGAUAUACUAGUCUCACAUUGUCCAAAUCAAGAUCCACCUACGGUGCCCCAGAGAUGACCUGUG